CCUACGGGAGGCAGCAGUGAGGAAUAUUGGUCAAUGGACGAGAGUCUGAACCAGCCAAGUAGCGUGAAGGAUGACUGCCCUAUGGGUUGUAAACUUCUUUUAUAAAGGAAUAAAACGAGGCACGUGUGCCUUUUUGCAUGUACUUUAUGAAUAAGGAUCGGCUAACUCCGUGCCAGCAGCCGCGGUAAUACGGAGGAUCCGAGCGUUAUCCGGAUUUAGUGGGGUUAAAGGGAGCGUAGAUGGGUUGUUAAGUCAGUUGUGAAAGUUUGCGGCUCAACCGUAAAAUUGCAAUUGAUACUGGCAGUCUUGAGUACAGUUGAGGUAGGCGGAAUUCGUGGUGUAGCGGUGAAAUGCUUAGAUAUCACGAAGAACCCCGAUUGCGAAGGCAGCUUACUAAACUGUGACUGACACUGAUGCGCGAAAGUGUGGGUAUCAAACAGGAUUAGAUACCCUUGUAGUC
rnacentral:rRNA from 1 species